rnacentral:rRNA from 1 species
UACGUAGGGGGCUAGCGUUGUCCGGAAUCAUUGGGCGUAAAGCGCGUGUAGGCGGUCCGGUAAGUCCGCUGUGAAAGUCGGGGGCUCAACCCUCGGAUGCCGGUGGAUACUGUCGGGCUUGAGUACGGAAGAGGCGAGUGGAAUUCCUGGUGUAGCGGUGAAAUGCGCAGAUAUCAGGAGGAACACCAAUUGCGAAGGCAGCUCGCUGGGACGUUACUGACGCUGAGACGCGAAAGCGUGGGGAGCAGACAGG